ACCUGGUGCUCCGUCUUCGCAGUGGCAUGCAAAUCUUCGUGAAGACCCUCAUGGUCAAGACCAUCACCCUUGAGGUGGAGAGCUCCGACACAACAGACAAUGUGAAGGCCAAGAUCCAAGACAAGGAGGGAAUCCCACCAGACCAGUAAAGGUUGAUUUUUGUCGGCAAGCAGCUGGAGGAUGGUCGCACGCAGACUACAAUAUUCAAAAGGAGUCUACCCUUCAUCUUGUCCUUCGUCUCCGUGGUGGGUUCUAAAGGAUUGGCCCCAAGCUCCCAUUAAUCUUAUGUUUUUAAGAAAUAAAUUUAAAUGUUUCUGGUUUGUGUUAUGCUACAAUCACCUUUAUAGUUAAGGCCCUGUUGAGGCCAUCUAAAUAAAUUUGGUUUGCAAUUUUAUAUUUU